GGUUGUGGCUCAGUGGUAGAGUGCUCGCCUAGUAAGUACAAGGUACUGAGUUUGAUCCUCAGCACUA
rnacentral:tRNA from 1 species